rnacentral:rRNA from 1 species
CCUACGGGGAGCAGCAGUGGGGGAUAUUGCACAAUGGGGGGAACCCUGAUGCAGCGACGCCGCGUGGGUGAAGAAGCGCCUCGGCGCGUAAACCACUGUCCCCAGGGACGAAAAUGACGGUACCUGGGGAGGAAGCUCCGGCUAACUACGUGCCAGCAGCCGCGGUAAUACGUAGGGAGCGAGCGUUGUCCGGAAUUACUGGGUGUAAAGGGAGCGUAGGCGGGGAUGCAAGUUGGGUGGAAAAACUACGGGCUAAACUGGUAGUCGCACUCAAAACUGCAGCUCUUGAGUGCAGUAGAGGCAGGCGGAAUUCCUAGUGUAGCGGUGAAAUGCGUAGAUAUUAGGAGGAACACCAGUGGCGAAGGCGGCCUGCUGGGCUUUUACUGACGCUGAGGCUCGAAAGUGUGGGGAGCAAACAGGAUUAGAUACCCGGGUAGUC